AUUUUUACUUAGAAAAAACCCUGCAUAGCUCAGUAUAUAUAAAUAAAAUAAAUGUUGCAUAUAUACAUAUCUUUAGCUAUUUUUUUCCUUUAGUUUCCCACAGACUGAUGAGACAUUACUUUUUAUCACUCACUUUUCUAAAGAUGGAUUAAUGGUUAAAGAGUCAAAAAUUAAGGACAUGGGGGGUGGCUCCUUAGUGCACAUGGCUCUCAACGCUCUCACUUGCUCUCUCUCUCUCUCUCUCUCUCUCUUUGAGAGGGGGAUCUGAAGCAAAUAUGGAAGCUAAAAGUUAAGUCUGCUAACUUCAAGUAGUGGCUGCAUUAUUAAUUUUUGUAUUUUUCAAACUCGAAGCAAGAUGACAUCAGCUGGAGCACCUCCUGGAGCUGCAGACUCUCCCCAAACAACUCAUUUUCCAACUGUCUGCAGGUCCAAGAGGCAGAAUGGACCAUGAAGAGAAGUGAAAUCUUUGAGUGUCGACAUCUCCACCAUUUACUCGGGCAAGUUAAUUAACCUCUCUGAAACGGAGUUUUCUUUUUUAAAUUGCAAUUUUUUAAAAGGAAAUAAUUAUAGGGAUGUGAAAAAAAUAUUUAAAAGAUGAAUUGAGUUCGUUCUGAGAAGAGUGAGCACACACUUGUUGAAGAUAAUAGAUGUCUACUUUUUACUGUCGACAGAGCUUUCACUUUUUUUCCCUCUUUUUAUCUUUCAUGAGACGACUAAAAAUACCAGGCAAGAAUUAACAGGCAAAUGGGAGCUGUUCAGAUUUUGGAGCAGCGGUGGAUCUGAGCUGAGAUGGGUUUUCAAGGAGGCUAUUCUGCAGCGUUGUGGGAAGAACACAAGGAUUGAUCAGUGCAGGACAAGGAGAACACCAUGAGGCUCUUAAACUGGGACUUGUUCAAUUAUUCCUUGCUUUGAAUUAGAAUCAGGGUCUGAUAUUUGCAAGUCUUAAAGGUCAUCUGGUGCAAGCUCACAAGAGAUUCUGGGGUUACACACUCUGUCCCAAUGCUUCCCAUGGUGGGAGAGUCACUGGGACACAGAAUGACCCGGGCCAUGAGUGCACACCUCUGGUCCAUGGGCCAAGGAUGCAGAAAGACAUAGGGGAAAGACCACAUAAUCCUGGCCUUGAAUCCACCUUGGCCCCUACAAAGC
rnacentral:lncRNA from 12 species